rnacentral:rRNA from 1 species
GAUGAACGCUGGCGGCGUGCCUAAUACAUGCAAGUCGAGCGAACGGACGAGAAGCUUGCUUCUCUGAUGUUAGCGGCGGACGGGUGAGUAACACGUGGAUAACCUACCUAUAAGACUGGGAUAACUUCGGGAAACCGGAGCUAAUACCGGAUGAUAUUUUGAACCGCAUGGUUCAAUAGUGAAAGACGGUCUUGCUGUCACUUAUAGAUGGAUCCGCGCUGCAUUAGCUAGUUGGUAAGGUAACGGCUUACCAAGGCAACGAUGCAUAGCCGACCUGAGAGGGUGAUAGGCCACACUGGAACUGAGACACGGUCCAGACUCCUACGGGAGGCAGCAGUAGGGAAUCUUACGCAAUGGGCGAAAGCCUGACGGAGCAACGCCGCGUGAGUGAUGAAGGUCUUCGGAUCGUAAAACUCUGUUAUUAGGGAAGAACAUAUGUGUAAGUAAAUGUGCACAUCUUGACGGUACCUAAUCAGAAAGCCACGGCUAACUACGUG